AUGUCUGCACUGGAUCCCUGCAGCAACAUGUCACUACAAAUCCAGCUAGACACUAACUGUGAAGUAGAUCUGCUCAGCCUGUGUGUGUGUAUAAGCUUCUUAGAAUUUGCUGCUGUUUUCAUUCCUGUUAUUUGUGCAUCUUUUGUGGAUAUGUGGAUAUGCUUGUAAAUCUGUUUUCUGGAUUGUUUGGGAGGUUGGAAGGUGAUCCUAAGUGUGUCCAAGGAAGGAAAGCAUUACAGUGAGCAGAGAUGAAUACAGAUACAAAUGUCCCAUCGACUGCUUAGAAGCCAUACUAUUUGACAGCAUUUGGUUGAGGUUUUCCAUAUGUCAACGUAGUAGAAACUACAGAUUUCAAAAUUGAAUUUUUGUGAAAGUUGAAAGAAUUUUCUGUAGUAUUUUAAAGGAUUUUGAGGACACACUGUUGGGAUCUAAUUUGUACAUUCUCAGAAUGAGAAUAUGCUUAACUCUGGCUACAGCAAAGCAUUUAUGAAAACGUUCUCUUGCUAAUACAGAUCUUCUAGUUCUUUGACACACCUGCACCAUUUUUAAACAUGUCCAAGGAACUAGGUAAAUACAGAGACUAUUUGGCCAGACCCAGCUUUGUCUGCUACUGAGAUUCUGCUGCCAGCUACAGCCAGGUGGUAAAUUCAAGCCCAGCUUAAGGAUAUUUUUUUAAGAUGCAGUCAGUUCAGCAAAGACCACCUGGGAGCGGAGCAGAGAUUGCUGUUUAAGGAAUUGAGCUGACGUAACAGCUCCAGUAUAUCUCCCAGUAAUUGAACUGGAAAUGCUGUCCUCUGCUUUUAGGAUUUACAGAAGGUUGGUCUGCUUUGACCUGACGGCAAUUUUAAAUAGUAUGGUUAAGUUUUUUCAGUUUCCACAACCAACUGAACACAGUCAUGUGGCACGGACCACAGCCAAUGCCUUUGACCACCUGCAUAUGUGACCAGUUGCCCAUUGAUUAGGGGCUGACUUACAUAGAAUUUUAGUCUCAUUCCUGUAAGUUCCACAAUAAGCUUGACUAUGUGUGACCAUGUGUAAACAAGUGUAUAUAGGCGUCUGAUUUUAGCAAAGACAUCCUUGAACUUCAGUAUUUAACCUGAAGUCAGCCCUGGUUUUAAGUAUGGUGAGGUUGAACCCUCUUCUCCUUCUCUAGUCUGCUCCCCUUGAA
rnacentral:lncRNA from 1 species